UGGGGGCUUCGCGGCUGCAUGCUGCAUUCCACUGGUUGUUAUACGAAAAUCUUUCGAAGUUCUAAUCUCCCGCGCGUUUUGUCUUGCAAUUUUUGAGCAUAGCGAGAACGUACGCCGUACUGUCCAGUGAUAAAAGCUGUUAAGCGCAGCGCCAGAGUACUGUGGUGGACAACGUUUCUUUGUUCUCUGGCUUUCAAGUUUAAGGGGUGCUUGGACUAUCUUGCAUCGGUGGAUAUGAAAAUAGUGGUAACCUACCCUACGAAACAGCUAUUUGCACAUAAGCUUAACAGUUCCCUGUGAGAUGCUGUGAAAGUCAGCAGGGAAGUGCGAUGUAGAAGAAAUGACUGCCAGAAGCUUGCUAAGGAACCGCACAACCUGUGUGGGCAGCAGACAAAAUAUUCAUCAAACGAAGUUUUGCACCAAAGUUAUGAGAGCAGCACAGAUGUUUUUUUAGCGUAAUGGAGUGAUGGAAGUGCUGCGCCAAUCAUGGAGUGCUUAGCAGUCGCCUGCUCGACCAGCCACAGUGAGUCAUUGGAGGCAGUGCUGCAGCACCAACAAUCACUCGUUGGAAGAAAGGAAUGAGGUGGCCAUCAACACUCCUCAGUCAAAACACAAGACGCCUGCUUGGCGGCAAAGUCAAUCCAGUUUUAGACAAGAGUUUUGUACCGUAGACUUCGUGUGUGGUUUACUGCGAAUAAAUGUUUAUGCUGA